CGCCCUGUCAUCUGGGGAGUAGCCAGCCAUUCGAGCGAUCGAAUGGGCCGCAUGUCAACAUAUUUGGCCGAGAGGCCAUGGCAUGCGGGAUGCGGGGACGUCGGGCAAGCGCCCGGACCACCGCAUC
rnacentral:sRNA from 2 species